rnacentral:rRNA from 1 species
AGUGAACGCUGGCGGCAGGCCUAACACAUGCAAGUCGAGCGGCAGCGCCGGGGCAACCCUUGCGGCGAGCGUCGGACGGGUGAGGGAUUCGCCUGAACCUGCCUCCUUGUAGGGGAUAACGUAGGGUGACUACCGCUACUACCGCAUACUUCCUACUGGAGAAGGAUGUUGACCGGCAGGCAUCACCCACGAACAUGAACCGACUACCGAUGUGCUAGUUGGUGGGUGAAAUGCCCACCCAGGCGACGAUCGGUAGCUGGCCUGAGAGGAUGAUCAGCCACACUGGGACUGAGACACGGCCCAGAGUCCUACGGGAGGCAGCAGUGGGGAAUGGUAGACAAUGGGCGCAAGCCUGAUCCAGCCAGGCCGCGUGUGUGAAGGAGGCCUUCGGGUUGUAAAGAACGCUUGUGCGGAAAGAAAUUCCUGGAGCUGAGACCUACGGAGGGUGACGGUACCGGAAGAAAAAGCACCGGCUAACUUCGUG